rnacentral:rRNA from 1 species
UACGGAGGGUGCAAGCGUUAUCCGGAUUCACUGGGCUUAAAGGGUGCGUAGGCGGGCUGGUAAGUCCGUGGUGAAAUCUCUGAGCUUAACUCAGAAACUGCCAUGGAUACUAUUUGUCUUGAAUAUUGUGGAGGUAAGCGGAAUUUGUCAUGUAGCGGUGAAAUGCGUAGAUAUGACAUAGAACACCAAUUGCGAAGGCAGCUUACUACACAGUUACUGACGCUGAGGCACGAAAGCGUGGGGAGCAAACAGG